CGAGCUGAGCUCCGGGAGCGCACCGACCCCACCCGGCCCGGCCGAGCGCAGCGCAGAAUGCACGGGCCCGGGCGCCCCCUCCUGCUGGGGAUGCUGCUCGUGCUGGGGGCGGCGGGGCCCGGCAGGGGCGGCGCGGAGCCCCGGGAGGCCGCGGACCGACAGACGCUGCUGCGGCUCAUCGUGGAGAUCGUCCAGGAGCUCAGGAAGUACCACUCGGGGGAGUCCAAGAGGCUGCAGCUCUCGGGCCGGCAGGACUACACCCUGGACCGCAGGGAGGUCGCGGACUACGCUUACCCGGAGGAGCAGAGAGUGGAAAUUGUCCCUCGAGAUCUAAGGAUGAAAGACAAGUUUCUAAAACAUCUUACAGGCCCUCUGUAUUUCAGCCCAAAGUGCAGCAAACACUUCCACAGACUUUACCACAACACCCGAGACUGCACCAUCCCCGCAUACUACAAGAGGUGUGCCCGGCUUCUUACUCGGCUGGCAGUCAGCCCGAUGUGCAUGGAGGAUAAGUGAGCAGAGCUGUGCAGCAGCCCAGGACCCAUGAGAAGUGCCUUGGAGACCAAAAGGACAGAACCCACUGCCUUCUGAACACACCCCGUGAACAGAGAUUUAUUUUUGCAGACAGACCCUUCCAUAAUUCCUUUACCUUGCGUUUCGAAAGUUGUUGACAUCACAUGUGGACAGAUAUUCAGUAAAUCUGUGUGCCUGACAGCUGUGCUUGCCACUCAUUAUUUUAGACAACGACUGCCUUUGACGUGUCAUGCUGUGAAAUGGCAGAGAGAGAGCUUUUUCCUGAUUAGGUGAC
rnacentral:lncRNA from 1 species